ensembl:lncRNA
CCCUCCUCUAGCCAAGUAGCAUGCAGCCCCAGCCCCUCCUCUAGCCCAGUAGCAUGCAGCCCAAGCCCCUCCUCUGGCCCAGGAGCAUGCAGCCCCUCCUCUAGCCCAGAAGGAUGCAGCCCCAGCCCCUCCUCUAGCCCAGAAGGAUGCAGCCCCUCCUCUGGCCCAGUAGCAUGCAGCCCCAGCCCCUCCUCUAGCCCAGUAGCAUGCAGCCCCAGCCCUCCUCUAGCCCAGAAGCAUGCAGCCCCUCCUCUGGCCCAGUAGCAUGCAUCCCCAGCCCCUCCUCUAGCCCAGAAGCAUGCAGCCCCUCCUCUAGCCCAGAAGGAUGCAGCCCCUCCUCUGGCCCAGUAGCAUGCAGCCCCAGCCCCUCCUCUAGCCCAGAAGCAUGCAGCCCCUCCUCUAGCCCAGUAGCAUGCAGCCCCAGCCCCUCCUCUAGCCCAGUAGCAUGUAGCCUCAGCCCCUCCUCUAGCCCAGUAGCAUGCAGCCCCAGCCCCUCCUCUGGCCGACCCAGUAGCAUGCAGCCUCAGCGCCUCCUCUAGCCCAGUAGCAUGCAGCCCCAGCCCCUCCUCUCGCCGACCCAGUAGCAUGCAGCCUCAGCCCCUCCUCUAGCCCAGUAGCAUGCAGCCCCAGCCCCUCCUCUGGCCGACCCAGUAGCAUGCAGCCUCAGCGCCUCCUCUAGCCCAGUAGCAUGCAGCCCCAGCCCAUCCUCUAGCCCAGUAGCAUGCAGCCUCAGCGCCUCCUCUAGCCCAGUACAAUGUAGCCCCAGCCCAUCCUCGAGCCCCGUAGCAUAAAGCCCCUCCUCUAGCCCAGAAGGAUGCAGCCACUCCUCUGGUACAGUAGCAUGCAUUCCCAGCACCUCCUCUAGCCGGCCCACAUGCAGCCCCUCCUGUAGCCCAGUAGCAUGCAACCCCAGCCCCUCCUCUAGCCCAGUAGCAUGCAGCCCAAGCCCCUCCUCUGGCCCAGGAGCAUGCAGCCCCUCCUCUAGCCCAGAAGGAUGCAGCCCCAGCCCCUCCUCUAGCCCAGAAGGAUGCAGCCCCUCCUCUGGCCCAGUAGCAUGCAGCCCCAGCCCCUCCUCUAGCCCAGUAGCAUGCAGCCCCAGCCGCUCCUCUAGCCCAGUAGCAUGCAGCCCC